GAAGGGCCCCGGGGGGUGUUGAGCAACAGCGGGGCUGCCCGUCCGUCUGUCCUUCCCGUCUGUGUGUCUCAUCCAUCCGUCCUUCCCAGCCGUCUGUCUCAUCUGUGUUUCCCAACCAUCUGUUCCCCAUCUGUCUGUCUCACCCAUCCGUCUGUCUUUUCCACGUCUGCUUUUCCCCGUCCAUCUUUCCUAUCCCUCUGCCUUCCCCAUCCUUCAUCUUCCCCAUCUGUCUGCCUUUUCCAUCUGCCCAUCUGUCCAUCUGUCCAUCUGUCAAUCUGUCCUUCUUAUCCACCUGCCGUCCCCAUCCAUCUGCCUUUCCCAUCCAUCUGUCCGUCUUUCCCAUGUUUGCUUUCCCCACCCAUUUCUCCCAUCUGUCUGCCUGCUUUCCCCAUCCAUCCGUCUGUCUGUCUUUCCCAUCCACCCACCUUCCCCAUCUGUCUGUCUGUCUGUCUUUCCCAUCCACCCACCUUCCCCACCCCUUUGCUUUUCUCACCCAUCUGCCUUCCCCUGUCUUUCCCACCCGUCUGCCUUUUCCAUCUGUCCAUCUGUCUUUCUUACCCACCUGCCCUCCCCAUCCGUCCAUCUUUCCCAUCCAUCUUUAUUCCCCAACCAUCUUUUCCAUCUGCCUCCCCCAUCUGUUUGUCUGUCUUCUCCAUCUGUCCGUCUUUCUCAUCUUCCUAUUUUUCCCAUUUCUCUGCCUUUCCCAUCCUAUCUGUCUUUGUCCAUGUGUCCAUCUGUCUAUCUGUCUAUCUGUCUUUCUCAUCCAUCUGCCUUUGCCAUCUGUCUGCUUUCUCCAUCCGUCUGUCUGUCUUUCCCAUCCACCUCUUUCCCAUCCACGUUUUCCAUCCCUCUGCCUUCCCCAUCCAUCCAUCCAUCCAUCCGUCCGUGUUCCCCAUCCAUCCGUCUGUCCACCUUCCCUAUCCAUCUGUCUGCCUUUCCCAUACAUUUUCCCAUCCGUCUGCCUUCCCAUCCAUCCUUCUGCCUUUCCCUAGCUGUCCAUCUGUCUUUCCCAUCCAUCUUCCCCACCUGUCUGUCUGCCUUUCCCAUCCAUUUUCCCCAUCCAACUACUUUCCCUAUCUGUCCAUCUGUCUUUCCCAUCCAUAUUCCCCAUCCAUCCAUCCAUCCAUCCAUCCAUCCAUCCAUGUUCUCCAUCCAUCCGUCCAUCUUCCCCAUCUGUCUGCACUUCCCAUCAAAUUUCCCAUCCGUCUGCCUUCCCAUCCAUCCUUCUGUCUUUCCCUAGCUGUCCACCUGUCUUUCCCAUCCAUGUUCCCCAUCCAUCCAUCCAUGUUCCCCAUCCAUCCAUCUGUCCAUCCAUCUAUCCAUCCAUCCAUCCAUCCAUCGACCCACCCAUGUUCUCCAUCCCUCCAUCCGUCCAUCUUCCCCAUCUGUCUGCCUUCCUCAUCCAUCCUUCUGUCUUUCCCAAUCUGUCCAUCUGUCUUUCCCAUCCAUCUCUUUCCCAUCCACCUUUCCCAUCCCUCUGCCUUCCCCAUCCAUCCAUCCGUGUUCCCCAUCCAUCCAUCUGUCCAUCUUCCCUAUCCAUCUGCCUUCCCCAUCCGUCUGCCUUCCCAUCCAUCCUUCUGUCUUUCCCUAGCUGUCCAUCUGUCUUUCCCACCCAUGUUUCCUAUCCACCCAUCCAUCCAUCUGUCCAUCUUCCCCAUCCAUCUGUCAGCCCUUCCCAUCAAAUUUCCCAUCUGUCUGCCUUCCCCAUCCAUCCUCUGCCUUUCCCCAUCUGUCCAUCUGUCUUUCCCACACAUCUUCCCAUCCAUCUGUCUGCCUUUCCCAUCCAUUUUCCCCAUCCAACUACUUUCCCCAUCUGUCCAUCUGUCUUUCCCAUCCAUGUUCCCCAUCCAUCCAUCCCUCCAUCCAUCCAUCCAUGUUCUCCAUCCAUCCGUCCAUCUUCCCCAUCUGUCUGCCCUUCCCAUCAAAUUUCCCAUCCGUCUGCCUUCCCCAUCCAUCCUUCUGUCUCUCCCUAUCUGUCCACCUGUCUUUCCCAUCCAUAUUCCCCAUCCAUCCAUCCAUCCAUCCAUCCAUCCAUCCAUCCAUGUUCCCCAUCCCUCCAUCCGUCCAUCUUCCCCAUCCGUCUGCCUUCCCAUCCAUCCUUCUGUCUUUCCCCACCUGUCCAUCUGUCUUUCCCAUCCUUCCCUUUCCCCUCCCUCUGCCUUCCCCAUCCCUCCAUCUGUCCAUCUUCCCCCCAUCCAUCCGCUCC
ensembl:lncRNA